CUGGAGUAUGGUGUGCAGAUCUAUUCUCCUAUUUGCGGGAAAGGUAGAAGUAAGAUUGAAAGAGUCCGGAGAAUAUUUACAAAGAUGUUGCUGGGACUUGAGGUUCGGACUUAAUUCCCUGGAGUGUAGAUGCUGCCUAACGAGUUCCUCCAGCAUUUAGUAUGUGGGUUGCUCAAGAUUUCCACCAUCUGCAGAAUCUCUUGUGUUUAUAAUUGUUUCUAUGGCAGCCUUUUUAAUUAUUGAAGAAAAUGUCCUGACUACUGAUUUUCCAUGAUAGCAUGCGAUUUAUACAUACAGCCGAGGGGUACCAAAAAGAUGAGAAAACAAAUCAGUCAAGGUUGGUGUAGAGUGUGUACUGCCUAAAUCCCAAUGAGGUUGGCAUUGAACUUAGCACUGAGGCUCCACAGCAGUUGAAGCGGCUGAUGUCAAGUACUAGAACAUGCUUUUAUAAGUAUUGCCCAUAGUGCAAUUCAAGACCUCCCAAAAUGCAGAGAAAAUGCUUCCUUUUCCAAAAGAAAUUCUGUUUUGCGCACCAUGAUUAGUGAGGAUUUACUGUUUGACAAAAACCUAUUUGAAACAGUUUCACAGGGGAUUUCAACUCUGGAGAUUAUCAUUUAUGGGUUUUGUCAUUUAAACAGCCAAGCUGGUCUACACUCAGCUACUAAAGCUGGGACAGAGUUAAAGACAGCUUCAGGGAAUUUAAUUUAAAUUAUUCUGAGAAUAAGCAACAGCAAUGUACAGUACCAUAUAUUGAUUGUUUGUAAUUAACAGGUUUAUGUCUCUAGAGAUUAGUUGUAUCUUUCUAGGUCUCUUCCUUACAGUUUGAUUUUGCCUAUCUCUAUUGCUUUUAAUAUAUCAAUAACCAAGCUAACUAAAAUAACUAAUAAAAGCAGUGUUAUAGAUGUUAAAGACAAGGUAUAUGACAAGGCUGCCUAUAGUAGGCUGGUCCAGAACAUUUAAGUACUUGGGAUCUAACUGUAUAAACUGUUCUGCAUUUAUUCUGGGUUUCUCUUUUCCCAAACAUGUGUUUGAUGUGAACCAGCUUGAUGUUAAAAUUCUAUCUACUUUUGUUAAAUGUUCUCAAUAAAGACAAUU